UAAGAUCACGAGUUUGCUUGCCUCCAAUUUUAUGAUGAAAUACCACCUUUGUAACACACUUCUGUAAAGUUUUUUGAAAAUCUUUUUUGUUUUUGUUGAUUAAGAAGAAGAGAACAUUUUCAGAAUUAUUACUGUUUUGCUCUUCUGGAUUUCUGAACAAACAUUUAGUGUACUCUUUAUAUCACAUUAGGCACAAAAGUAAGAGCAUGGGCUUUAACUUUACAUUCAUAUCGCUGAUUCUACUGGUGAACAUCGAAGAUAUACUAACAUUGGAGCGCUUACAUGUAAACUGUGAACACAAGAACAAUUGUGCACUGAGGGAGACUGAAGUGACACUGAGGUGUGUUUACUUAAAAGGGGACAUCAAAACUGGGUUCUGGUUCAGCCACAAACAGAGUGAAAACUGGAGAGAAAGUGAUGAACCUGAAGAUAUAGCUUUGGAUUUCGACUACUCAGGACGAGUGAAGCAGCAGAUCACUAACUAUCAAUCAGCUCUCACAAUAAGAGACGUGAGAGAGAGAGACUCUGGAGAAUAUCAGCUCAUGUUCAUUAUGAAGGAUGGAGUUAAACACAUCAGCUCAGUCACAGUCCAUCUAACAGUCACAGUCUUGCAGGUGAAGGUACAUGAGCAAUCUACAGAGGAGAGAGAUCAGACAGUAUUGACCUGUGAAACUUCCUGCACUUUGUCCCCGAAUCCUGGGUAUGCCUACUGGAAAAAAGAUGGACAAUAUAUACAACAUGUUUAUACUGAACGCCUUUCCGUUUCAUCAAGUGAAUAUGCUGCCUACUUCUGUCUUACUCCAGACCAUAAAAUCUCUUCUGCUCCUGUGUGUCUUUCUGACAGAUGCUGGCACGUGACUUACACGUCUAGAAGAGUUUGUGCUUUAGUGGGAUCAACAGUAGAAAUUCACUCUUCAUACUCCCAUCCCACUGGAUAUACAGUAGUGAACACAUACUGGCAUUCUCGUCCCGAGAGAGUCAUAGAUAUACGUGAGGAGCAGCAGUUUGCUGGUCGUGUGGAGUAUGUGGGAAACACACUGAGAAUCAAAGACGUCAACAUGAGCGACUCUGGAGAAUAUCAAUUCAGAAUCAUCACUAACACUUCUGACGGCAAAUAUUCUGGUUCACCGGGAGUCAAUCUUACUGUUACAGACACACAGGUGACAAUCAGCCCAGUCGUUGUGUCCGACGGAGAGAAAGUGAUAUUAAGCUGUUCAACCAAAUGCACUCUGGAUAAAAGCAUGACAUUCUCGUGGUACAAGAACGGACAGCCAGUAACAGAUGGAUUUACAUUAUUAAACAAGCUGUACCUGGACUCAGUCAACAAAGAUGAGCUGAAAGAAUAUUCCUGUACUGUCACAGGUACCACAGAGGAACCAGUGAAAAGUCUAGUGCCUGACUUUCUGAUUGUGUUUGUGGUUCAAGUACUCAUUAUAGGUGCUGUCUGGGUGUGGUUUUUCUUGAAAAUAUUCUUCUUGUCUAAAUACCAGAUUAAUGACAAAAAUGAAGAGAUUCAGGUGUCUCAUAUGUCUGCAUGUACAUCUGCUGUCUCUUCAACGGAACUGGUGGCGUGAACACAAUGAUACAGUAAUAUCACAUACACUGGGAUAAUAAUUGACCAGUUUGCAUAGUCUGCAAAAGUACAUUUUUAUUAUUAUUGUGCAGUAAAACACCAACUCUAAAACAUUUCUGGUGUAUACAAGGGCAGAAAAUUGUAGUUUUGUAUCACAAGUAUUACUUUUUACAUUUUGUACAAAUUUUGUGUCUGUAUGGUAUUGACUGCUUGAUAUUUUAAGUGAGUAGUUCCUGCAUAUGUGCACAUGUGUAUUAGAAAAUGUAUUCAUUUCUUUUAUUAAAAGUCUCUAGGUGGCCUACAGUUUACUUGUCUAGCCUGAAGUGCUGCCUCUUGGUUAUGAUAACUAACAACAAAGUCACUUAUGAAAUGGAACGUCUUGGUUACGGAUGUAACCUCAGUUCCCUGAUGGAGGGAAUGAGAUGUUGUGUCCUUCUUGCCACAACGCUGGCUGCCCGCCGCAGCAGUCGAGGGAUGCUCAGGCUCCUCAGACCAAAAGGUGAAUGAAU